rnacentral:rRNA from 1 species
RRNAGGUUGAUUCUGCCAGAAGUCACUGCUAUUGGGGUUCGGCUAAGCCAUGCUAGUGGAGGGUGCGAUCGAAAGACCGUGCCCCGCUCAAGGCUCAGUAACACGUAGUUAACCUACCCUCGAGUUGGGAAUAACCACGGAAAACUGUGGAUAAUCCCCAAUAGGUGAUGAGUCUGGAAUGUUCAUCACCCAAAGCUCAGGCGCUCGAGGAUGGGACUGCGGCCUAUCAGGCAGUUGGUGGUGUAACGGACCACCAAACCUACGACGGGUACGGGCGAUGGGAGUCGGAGCCCGGAGAUGGGGACUGAGACAAGGCCCUAGGUCCUACGGGAUGCAGCAGGCGCGAAAACUCCGCAAUGCGCGCAAGCGUGACGGGGGAACCCCAAGUGCCGGUGGUCUUUGAUCGUCGGCUUUUCAGGAGUGCAAGAAGCUCUUGGAAUAAGGGCUGGGUAAGACUGGUGCCAGCCGCCGCGGUAAUACCAGCAGCCCGAGUGGUGGCCGGGUUUAUUGGGCCUAAAGAGCCCGUAGCUGGAUCGAUAAGUCCUUCGUGAAAUCGGACGGCUCAACCGUUCGGCCUGCAAGGGAUACUAUCGUUCUAGAGGCCGGGAAAGGUCGGAAGUACUCCGGGGGUAGUAGUGAAAUGCUGUAAUCCUCGGAGGACUACCAGUGGCGAAGGCGUCCGACUGGAACGGACCUGACGG